GAUACACUCGGUGUGCAUUGGUUAUAACUAAUUUGUUCAAAGGGAUUUUACAGAAGUUAUUAUUAUCACAAUGUGCUGUAACAAAUAAAUUGUUUACAAAAUUAUAAUAUGAUCCUUAAGUAGUGCAAACUGUUGUGAAUGUAAUAGAACAAAAAUCAGGAACAAAUACAUAAAAUAGAUUAAAGUUCUAAACAAGAUGCCUAGUUGUAACCCGUUCUCAUUUGUGAAAGGAAAAUAUAACC